UCCUCAAACACACUCUCUCCUAAUUCUACCUCUCUCCUCAAACACUCUCUCUCUCUCCUAAACUCCCUGCUUCUUCCUCUCUCCUCAAACCCCAUCCAGUUUCUGCCUCUCUCUCCUCAACCUCGCCGCUCAAAUUUUCCUCCGGCAAGGUUCUUGCACAAAAAUUCGGUUUGUAAAUGAGGUUUCGACAACGAAAGAGGGAGAAUCGGGGCCGUAGAAGAGGUGGAGGAGGGUGUCGGAGGUGGAAGCGUCAUUGAAACCGCCGGCGUCGCACCCUUGCUACUGUCGCAAUCGAAGCAUCUAUUUCGAAAUCCUUGGAAAGGGAAGCUUGACGGCGGAGGUUUCUGGAGAAACUAGAUUGACGGCGGCGAGGUGGAGGAAGGAGGCGGGACGGUUAGUCGGAGGGUUGUUGUUGACAGUGUUUCAGAUGUGGUAGACUACUGGGUAACAUUUAAUGAGCCUCAUGUCUUUUGUAUGUUGACAUACUGUGCUGGUGCUUGAUAGGAUGGGUUUAUCAUGCACAAG